UAACACGUAGGGAACCUGCCCAUGCGGCCGGGACAACUUCCGGAAACGGAUGCUGAUACCGGAUAAGGAAAGCGAAGGCAUCUUUGCUUUGUUAAAGGAGCUGCAAGGCUCCGCGCAUGGAUGGACCUGCGGUGCAUUAGCUGGUUGGUGAGGUAAAGGCUCACCAAGGCGACGAUGCAUAGCCGGCCUGAGAGGGCGAACGGCCACACUGGGACUGAGACACGGCCCAGACUCCUACGGAAGGCAGCAG
rnacentral:rRNA from 1 species